rnacentral:rRNA from 1 species
CCUACGGGAGGCAGCAGUAGGGAAUUUUCCACAAUGGGCGCAAGCCUGAUAGCGCAACGCCGCGUGCAGGAUGAAUGCCUUAGGGUUGUAAACUGCUUUUAUAUGUGACGAUUAUACGGUAGCAUAUGAAUAAGCAUCGGCUAACUACGUGCCAGCAGCCGCG